rnacentral:rRNA from 1 species
UACGUAGGGGGCUAGCGUUGUCCGGAAUCAUUGGGCGUAAAGCGCGUGUAGGCGGCCCGGUAAGUCCGCUGUGAAAGUCGGGGGCUCAACCCUCGGAUGCCGGUGGAUACUGUCGGGCUAGAGUGCGGAAGAGGCGAGUGGAAUUCCUGGUGUAGCGGUGAAAUGCGCAGAUAUCAGGAGGAACACCGGUGGCGAAGGCGGGUCUCUGGGCCGUAACUGACGCUGAGGAGCGAAAGCGUGGGGAGCGAACAGG